rnacentral:misc_RNA from 1 species
AGCAGCCGCGGUAAUUCCAGCUCCAAUAGCGUAUAUUAAAGUUGUUGCAGUUAAAAAGCUCGUAGUUGAAUUUCGGGGUUAGCAGGUCGGUCGUGCCAUUGGUAUGAACUGGUCUCGCUGAUCCCUCCCUCUUGACGAACUGUGAUGCCAUUAAUUUGGUGUCGCAGGGAAUCAGGACUGUUACUUUGAAAAAAUUAGAGUGUUUAAAGCAGGCUCACGCUUGAAUACAUUAGCAUGGAAUAAUGAAAUAGGACGUUUGAUCCUAUUUUGUUGGCUUCUAGGAUUGACGUAAUGAUUAAUAGGGAUAGUUGGGGGCAUUAGUAUUCAAUUGUCAGAGGUGAAAUUCUUGGAUUUAUUGAAGACUAACUACUGCGAAAGCAUUUGCCAAGGAUGUUUUCAUUAAUCAAGAACGAAAGUUAGGGGAUCGAAGACGAUCAGAUACCGUCGUAGCCUUAACCAUAAACUAUGCCGACUAGGGAUCGGAUGAUGUUAGUUUUUUAAUGACUCAUUCGGCGCCUUA